UACGAGGGGGGCAAAUGUUGUUCGGAAUCACUGGGCGUAAAGGGCGCGUAGGCGGCCUGAUAAGUAGGGGUGAAAUCCUGCGGCUUAACCGCAGGGCUGCCUUCUAAACUGUCAGGCUGGAGCACAGUAGAGGCAGGUGGAAUUCCCGGUGUAGCGGUGGAAUGCGUAGAGAUCGGGAAGAACAUCAGUGGCGAAGGCGGCCUGCUGGGCUGUUGCUGACGCUGAGGCGCGACAGCGUGGGGAGCAAACAGG
rnacentral:rRNA from 1 species